UACGAAGGGUGCAAGCGUUACUCGGAAUUACUGGGCGUAAAGCGUGCGUAGGUGGUUUGUUAAGUCUGUUGUGAAAGCCCCGGGCUCAACCUGGGAAUGGCAAUGGAUACUGGCAAGCUAGAGUGCGGUAGAGGGUAGUGGAAUUCCCGGUGUAGCGGUGAAAUGCGUAGAGAUCGGGAGGAACACCAGGUGGCGAAGGCGGCUCCUGGACCAAGCACUGACGCUGAGGAGCGAAAAGCCAGGGGAGCAAACGGG
rnacentral:rRNA from 1 species